GCCAAGGCGCGAUAUCGAUCCCUUCGGGGAACAAAGCCACCUACUCCAUGCUGCCAAGAAAAACCUCGAGACGGAGACUAUGAGGUGACCGUACCGUAAACCGACACAGGUAGACGGGUAGAGAAUACCAAGGCCCUUGAGUGAUCCCUUGCGAAGGAACUCGGCAAUUUGACACCGUAACUUCGGGAGAAGGUGUGCCGUCAGAAGUGUAGGGGUUCGCCCCCGAAGCUUUUGGCGGUCGCAGUAAAAUGGCCCAAGCGACUGUUUAUCAAAAACACAGGACUCUGCAAAGUCGAAAACGACGUAUAGGGUCUGACGCCUGCCCGGUGCCGGAAGGUUAAGAGGAAGGGUUAGCCGCAAGGCGAAGCUCCCAAUCGAAGCCCCGGUAAACGGCGGCCGUAACAAUAACGGUCCUAAGGUAGCGAAAUUCCUUGUCGGGUAAGUUCCGACCUGCACGAAUGGCGUAACGAUUUGGGCACUGUCUCCGCAAGGGGCUCAGCGAAUCUGUAGUACCGGUGAAGAUGCCGGUUACCCGCACGUAGACGGA
rnacentral:rRNA from 1 species